AUGACGCUAUGCCUGGACCCUUGGAGUACGCCUAUGGUGGUGUCAUCUUCCUAUGCGUCGAUCGUGGCAGCGGCCGAGGCUGCCCUGGCUGUGUGUGAUGUGUCCCCUAACAACGGCAACAUCAGUAUCACCCAAGAGCAAGCAGAACAAACGAGUAAUCCUGACCUUGUGAGAAAUUCUCUACUGAUGAAUUCAGGGUUCAAAUUUUACCUAGUGCAGUUACUGUUCCAAUAUGAUUAUGCACAUGAAGCUUGGCCUGCCUGCCAUGUUCUUGACACUGGCUACAUGAUGUUUGUUACUCAUAAGGAGAAUGACUUUGAACAAGAAUGCAAGACACUUGCUAGAUGCUUCCCCACUAUUCCAGAUGUUGCCUGGGUGGAUAGACUUUCAUUCCCAUUAAUUAAGUCUGUUGUCAAGUUAGAAAAUCUCAUUGAGCAGUUGCAGAAGUAUUUCAUUUUCCAGGUAAAACUGAAGCCAUGGCCUGCCUAUGAGCAACCCUUGUUUAUUGUGACAUGUGCAAGUGUGGUUUCUAAUACUGAUAACAACCUUGUCCUGCUUCAAAGAAAAAAAGGAGGAGCAACCAAUAUGCAAUUUCAUACACCAAUUAGCCGCAACCUGCUCCAGUGGAACAAUUACACACAUCAUGAUCUGGACUAUUUUCUGUGGGCAAUUGCAUGGUCAUUAGUGGACUCAUUUUGUGUUAGCUCAUGUUUUGAAGGAAGUGGAAUUGUCACUAGGAGGGAGCUGAGCUGGAAUUAUCAUUGUUGUUCUGAGCCUAUACAGUGGGAGAUUGCAUGGUUUUAUCCCUUGGAGUAUUUUGCUAGUGACAGAGAAUUUGUUCAGCCAUUAUUUGCGAAUUUAGUGCAGUCUUGCAUUUUUGGAGAGGUUUCCUUCCCUGAGUUAAAACAAAUACAGUGGAGAACUGCUCGUGUGACUUCGAAAGAAUUGUUGUUUUUCCAUAUGGGUGAAGAGAUCCUUCCAGCCAUCUCCAUUGUCAUCAGUUAUGGACCUGUUGCUGUUUUGGCUUGGUACGUAUUGGCUACAGAAUUCGUGAGUGCAGAUGCAUAUUUUGCGGAACUCCGCAAGAUACAGUGCAUAGGUGUCUGCGUUUCUCCUGGUGAUGUUACAUCAACUUUACAAAUAUGGCAAGGUCAUAUAUGGGUUAAUAUGGUGCUGGAGUUUGAUGGAUUCCAAGUAACUCUGUUAGCUGCUUACAUUUCUGUCUCUGGUUAG
rnacentral:rRNA from 1 species